rnacentral:misc_RNA from 1 species
UCUCCGUUGGUGAACCAGCGGAGGGAUCAUUACCGAGUUUACAACUCCCAAACCCCUGUGAACAUACCAUUUGUUGCCUCGGCGGUGCCUGCUUCGGCAGCCCGCCAGAGGACCCAAACCCUUGAUUUUAUACAGUAUCUUCUGAGUAAAUGAUUAAAUAAAUCAAAACUUUCAACAACGGAUCCCUUGGUUCUG